AGAGUUUGAUCCUGGCUCAGGAUGAACGCUGGCGGCGUGCUUAACACAUGCAAGUCGAACGAACCUUCGGGUUAGUGGCGGACGGGUGAGUAACGCGUGAGAAUCUGCCCUCAGGAGGGGGAUAACAGCUGGAAACGGCUGCUAAUACCCCAUAUGCCGCGAGGUGAAAUGAAUUUCGCCUGAGGAUGAGCUCGCGUCUGAUUAGCUAGUUGGUGUAGGUAAUGGCUCACCAAGGCAUCGAUCAGUAGCUGGUCUGAGAGGAUGAUCAGCCACACUGGGACUGAGACACGGCCCAGACUCCUACGGGAGGCAGCAGUGGGGAAUUUUCCGCAAUGGGCGAAAGCCUGACGGAGCAACGCCGCGUGAGGGAUGAAGGCCUCUGGGCUGUAAACCUCUUUUAUCAAGGAAGAAGAUCUGACGGUACUUGAUGAAUAAGCCACGGCUAAUUCCGUGCCAGCAGCCGCGGUAAUACGGGAGUGGCAAGCGUUAUCCGGAAUUAUUGGGCGUAAAGCGUCCGCAGGCGGCCCUUCAAGUCUGCUGUUAAAAAGUGGAGCUUAACUCCAUCAUGGCAGUGGAAACUGAGGGGCUUGAGUGUGGUAGGGGCAGAGGGAAUUCCCGGUGUAGCGGUGAAAUGCGUAGAUAUCGGGAAGAACACCAGUGGCGAAGGCGCUCUGCUGGGCCAUCACUGACGCUCAUGGACGAAAGCCAGGGGAGCGAAAGGGAUUAGAUACCCCUGUAGUCCUGGCCGUAAACGAUGAACACUAGGUGUCGGGGGAAUCGACCCCCUCGGUGUCGUAGCCAACGCGUUAAGUGUUCCGCCUGGGGAGUACGCACGCAAGUGUGAAACUCAAAGGAAUUGACGGGGGCCCGCACAAGCGGUGGAGUAUGUGGUUUAAUUCGAUGCAACGCGAAGAACCUUACCAGGGUUUGACAUCCUGCGAAUCUCUUGGAAACGAGAGAGUGCCUUCGGGAGCGCAGUGACAGGUGGUGCAUGGCUGUCGUCAGCUCGUGUCGUAAGAUGUUGGGUUAAGUCCCGCAACGAGCGCAACCCACGUCUUUAGUUGCCAGCAUUUAGUUGGGCACUCUAGAGAGACCGCCGGUGAUAAACCGGAGGAAGGUGUGGAUGACGUCAAGUCAUCAUGCCCCUUACAUCCUGGGCUACACACGUACUACAAUGCUACGGACAAAGGGCAGCAAGUUCGCGAGGACAAGCAAAUCCCAUAAACCGUGGCUCAGUUCAGAUCGUAGGCUGCAACUCGCCUACGUGAAGGAGGAAUCGCUAGUAAUCGCAGGUCAGCAUACUGCGGUGAAUACGUUCCCGGGCCUUGUACACACCGCCCGUCACACCAUGGAAGUUGGCCACGCCCGAAGCCGUUACUCCAACCCUUGUGGAGGAGGACGUCGAAGGUGGGGCUGAUGACUGGGGUGAAGUCGUAACAAGGUAACC
rnacentral:rRNA from 1 species